GCGCAGCAGGCGCGAAACCUUCGCAAUGCAGGAAACUGCGACGAGGGAACUCCAAGUGCCUACGCUCAGCGUAGGCUGUUCUCAAGCCUAGAAAGCUUGAGGAGUAAGGGGCUGGGUAAGACGGGUGCCAUCUGUGGUAGGCAGUCAAUAGAUUCGAUUUGUUACUGCAAGGCAUAAGGCCGCCGCGGUAAUACCCGCAGCCCAAGUGGUGGCCGCUUUUAUUGGGCCUAAAGCGUCCGUAGCCGGCCCGGUAAAUGCCUGGGUAAAUCGUGGAGCCCAACUUCACGAAUUCCGGGUAGACUGCCGAGCUCGGGACCGGAAGACGGGAGAGGGGUACUUCAGGGGUAGGGGUGAAAAGUUUCCUUUCCAUUAACGCUUUUGCGCGAAGGCGGAAAGGGUUUAUCACAAGUCCCUGUAAUCCCUGGAGGGCCA
rnacentral:rRNA from 1 species